rnacentral:rRNA from 1 species
AGUGAACGCUGGCGGUAGGCCUAACACAUGCAAGUCGAACGGCAGCACAGUAAGAGCUUGCUCUUACGGGUGGCGAGUGGCGGACGGGUGAGGAAUACAUCGGAAUCUACUUUUUCGUGGGGGAUAACGUAGGGAAACUUACGCUAAUACCGCAUACGACCUACGGGUGAAAGCAGGGGAUCUUCGGACCUUGCGCGAUUCAAUGAGCCGAUGUCGGAUUAGCUAGUUGGCGGGGUAAAGGCCCACCAAGGCGACGAUCCGUAGCUGGUCUGAGAGGAUGAUCAGCCACACUGGAACUGAGACACGGUCCAGACUCCUACGGGAGGCAGCAGUAGGGAAUAUUGGACAAUGGGCGCAAGCCUGAUCCAGCCAUACCGCGUGGGUGAAGAAGGCCUUCGGGUUGUAAAGCCCUUUUAUUGGGAAAGAAAAGCUGCAGGUUUAUACCCCGCUGUUCUGACGGUACCUAAAGAAUAAGCACCGGCUAACUUCGUG